UGAGCUGUCUUUCUUUUCAGAUCGUAUAAAUCUUUCGCCUUUUACUAAAGAUUUCCGUGGAGAGGAACAUUUAUGAGUUUCUACCCAAUUUUUUUUUGAGCUGUCUAGUCUGUUCU